GGUUCUGUGGCGCAAUGAAUAACGCGUCUGACUACGGUCCAGAAGAUUCCAGGUUCGACUGCGGGCAGGAUCG
rfam:Anopheles culicifacies strain species A-37_1 cont1.517, whole genome shotgun sequence.